UCCCUGAACACCCAUGAACUUUUAAAGUAUAUUAUCUCUUGCCCCAUCUCCCCUCAUUACAUAAUUGCCAGAGUCAAGUAGGCUCAUUGAGGCCGCGGAGAUCUUAAAUAUAUGGACCUCGAGACACGAUUGUAGAUUUGUUUCAAUGACUUGGUUAUCUGGAGUAAUUUUUAAUCGGUUAUGCUCUUGACAGCUCAGUGGAUUGUCAAUAAGGCAAUGAGAAUACCAAAAAAUUCAACUUUUGAUACACUUUCCAAGACACUUUAACAGAUAAAAAC